rnacentral:tRNA from 1 species
GGGCGGUUAGCUCAGCCGGUUCAGAGCACCUGCCUUACAAGCAGGGGGUCACUGGUUCGAAUCCAGUACCGCCCA